GAUGAACGCUCGCGGCGUGCCUAAUACAUGCAAGUCGAGCGAACAGACGAGGAGCUUGCUCCUCCGACGUUAGCGGCGGACGGGUGAGUAACACGUGGAUAACCUACCUAUAAGACUGGGAUAACUUCGGGAAACCGGAGCUAAUACCGGAUAAUAUAUUGAACCGCAUGGUUCAAUAGUGAAAGACGGUUUUGCUGUCACUUAUAGAUGGAUCCGCGCCGCAUUAGCUAGUUGGUAAGGUAACGGCUUACCAAGGCGACGAUGCGUAGCCGACCUGAGAGGGUGAUCGGCCACACUGGAACUGAGACACGGUCCAGACUCCUACGGGAGGCAGCAGUAGGGAAUCUUCCGCAAUGGGCGAAAGCCUGACGGAGCAACGCCGCGUGAGUGAUGAAGGUCUUCGGAUCGUAAAACUCUGUUAUUAGGGAAGAACAAAUGUGUAAGUAACUAUGCACGUCUUGACGGUACCUAAUCAGAAAGCCACGGCUAACUACGUG
rnacentral:rRNA from 1 species